rnacentral:rRNA from 1 species
AGUUUGAUCCUGGCUCAGGACGAACGCUGGCGGCGUGCUUAACACAUGCAAGUCGAGCGGUAAGGCCCUUCGGGGUACACGAGCGGCGAACGGGUGAGUAACACGUGAGUAACCUGCCCCUGACUCUGGGAUAAGCCUGGGAAACCGGGUCUAAUACCGGAUAUGACUCCUGCUCGCAUGGGUGGGGGUGGAAAGGUUGGUUUUCCUUCCGGUCGGGGAUGGGCUCGCGGCCUAUCAGCUUGUUGGUGGGGUGACGGCCUACCAAGGCGAUGACGGGUAGCCGGCCUGAGAGGGCGACCGGCCACACUGGGACUGAGACACGGCCCAGACUCCUGCGGGAGGCAGCAGUGGGGAAUAUUGCGCAAUGGGCGGAAGCCUGACGCAGCGACGCCGCGUGGGGGAUGAAGGCCUUCGGGUUGUAAACCUCUUUUACCACUCACGCAGGCCUUGGGUUUUCCUGGGGUUGACGGUAGGUGGUGAAUAAGGACCGGC